rnacentral:rRNA from 1 species
GGGUUGUGAGGUUAAGCGAACAAGCGUACACGGUGGAUGCCCUGGCAGUCAGAGGCGAUGAAGGACGUGCUAAUCUGCGAAAAGCGCCGGUAAGGUGAUAUGAACCGUUAUAACCGGCGAUGUCCGAAUGGGGAAACCCGGUGCACUUCGGUGCAUCAUCGUUAGCUGAAUACAUAGGCUAACGAGGCGAACCGGGGGAACUGAAACAUCUAAGUACCCCGAGGAAAAGAAAUCAACCGAGAUUCCCCCAGUAGCGGCGAGCGAACGGGGAACAGCCCAGAGCCUGAAUCAGCUUGUGUGUCAGUGGAACGGUCUGGAAAGGCCGGCGAUACAGGGUGACAGCCCCGUACACGAAGGCACACAGGCUGUGAGCUCGAUGAGUAGGGCGGGACACGUGAUAUCCUGUCUGAAGAUGGGGGGACCAUCCUCCAAGGCUAAAUACUCCUGACUGACCGAUAGUGAACCAGUACCGUGAGGGAAAGGCGAAAAGAACCCCGGCGAGGGGAGUGAAACAGAACCUGAAACCGUGUACGUACAAGCAGUGGGAGCCUUCGUAAGAGGGUGACUGCGUACCUUUUGUAUAAUGGGUCAGCGACUUAUAUUCUGUAGCAAGGUUAACCGUAUAGGGGAGCCGAAGGGAAACCGAGUCUUAACCGGGCGUUAAGUUGCAGGGUAUAGACCCGAAACCCGGUGAUCUAGCCAUGGGCAGGUUGAAGGUUGGGUAACACUAACUGGAGGACCGAACCGACUAAUGUUGAAAAAUUAGCGGAUGACCUGUGGCUGGGGGUGAAAGGCCAAUCAAACCGGGAGAUAGCUGGUUCUCCCCGAAAGCUAUUUAGGUAGCGCCUCGUGAACUCAUCUCCGGGGGUAGAGCACUGUUUCGGCUAGGGGGCCAUCCCGGCUUACCAACCCGAUGCAAACUGCGAAUACCGGAGAAUGUUAUCACGGGAGACACACGGCGGGUGCUAACGUCCGUCGUGAAGAGGGAAACAACCCAGACCGCCAGCUAAGGUCCCAAAGUCAUGGUUAAGUGGGAAACGAUGUGGGAAGGCCCAGACAGCCAGGAUGUUGGCUUAGAAGCAGCCAUCAUUUAAAGAAAGCGUAAUAGCUCACUGGUCGAGUCGGCCUGCGCGGAAGAUGUAACGGGGCUAAACCAUGCACCGAAGCUGCGGCAGCGACACUAUGUGUUGUUGGGUAGGGGAGCGUUCUGUAAGCCUGUGAAGGUGUGCUGUGAGGCAUGCUGGAGGUAUCAGAAGUGCGAAUGCUGACAUAAGUAACGAUAAAGCGGGUGAAAAGCCCGCUCGCCGGAAGACCAAGGGUUCCUGUCCAACGUUAAUCGGGGCAGGGUGAGUCGACCCCUAAGGCGAGGCCGAAAGGCGUAGUCGAUGGGAAACAGGUUAAUAUUCCUGUACUUGGUGUUACUGCGAAGGGGGGACGGAGAAGGCUAUGUCGGCCGGGCGACGGUUGUCCCGGUUUAAGCGUGUAGGCUGACUUUCCAGGCAAAUCCGGAAAGUUAAGGCUGAGGCGUGAUGACGAGGCACCACGGUGCUGAAGUGACAAAUGCCCUGCUUCCAGGAAAAGCCUCUAAGCAUCAGGUAACAUCAAAUCGUACCCCAAACCGACACAGGUGGUCAGGUAGAGAAUACCAAGGCGCUUGAGAGAACUCGGGUGAAGGAACUAGGCAAAAUGGUGCCGUAACUUCGGGAGAAGGCACGCUGACAUGUAGGUGAAGCCCCUGCGGGUGGAGCUGAAGUCAGUCGAAGAUACCAGCUGGCUGCAACUGUUUAUUAAAAACACAGCACUGUGCAAACACGAAAGUGGACGUAUACGGUGUGACGCCUGCCCGGUGCCGGAAGGUUAAUUGAUGGGGUUAUCGCAAGAGAAGCUCCUGAUCGAAGCCCCGGUAAACGGCGGCCGUAACUAUAACGGUCCUAAGGUAGCGAAAUUCCUUGUCGGGUAAGUUCCGACCUGCACGAAUGGCGUAAUGAUGGCCAGGCUGUCUCCACCCGAGACUCAGUGAAAUUGAACUCGCUGUGAAGAUGCAGUGUACCCGCGGCAAGACGGAAAGACCCCGUGAACCUUUACUACAGCUUGACACUGAACAUUGAGCCUUGAUGUGUAGGAUAGGUGGGAGGCUUUGAAGCGUGGACGCCAGUCUGCGUGGAGCCGACCUUGAAAUACCACCCUUUAAUGUUUGAUGUUCUAACCUGGCGCCGUAAUCCGGCGUGGGGACAGUGUCUGGUGGGUAGUUUGACUGGGGCGGUCUCCUCCCAAAGUGUAACGGAGGAGCACGAAGGUCAGCUAAUCCUGGUCGGACAUCAGGAGGUUAGUGCAAUGGCAUAAGCUGGCUUGACUGCGAGAGUGACGGCUCGAGCAGGUGCGAAAGCAGGUCAUAGUGAUCCGGUGGUUCUGUAUGGAAGGGCCAUCGCUCAACGGAUAAAAGGUACUCCGGGGAUAACAGGCUGAUACCGCCCAAGAGUUCAUAUCGACGGCGGUGUUUGGCACCUCGAUGUCGGCUCAUCACAUCCUGGGGCUGAAGUAGGUCCCAAGGGUAUGGCUGUUCGCCAUUUAAAGUGGUACGCGAGCUGGGUUUAGAACGUCGUGAGACAGUUCGGUCCCUAUCUGCCGUGGGCGCUGGAGAAUUGAGGGGGGCUGCUCCCAGUACGAGAGGACCGGAGUGGACGCAUCACUGGUGUUCGGGUUGUCAUGCCAAUGGCACUGCCCGGUAGCUAAAUGCGGAAGAGAUAAGUGCUGAAAGCAUCUAAGCACGAAACUUGCCCCGAGAUGAGUUCUCCCUGAGACUAUAAGUCUCCUGAAGGAACGUUGAAGACGACGACGUUGAUAGGCCGGGUGUGUAAGCGCAGCGAUGCGUUGAGCUAACCGGUACUAAUGAACCGUGAGGCUUAACCUUACAACGCCAAAGAAGU